rnacentral:rRNA from 1 species
UGAGUAACCUGCCCUUCUCAUCGGAAUAAGCGUUGGAAACGACGUCUAAUGCCGAAUACGACCUCCUUUCGCAUGAUCGGAGGUGGAAAGCUCCGGCGGAGAAGGAUGAGCUCGCGGCCUAUCAGCUAGUUGGUGUGGGUAAUGGCCCACCAAGGCGACGACGGGUAGCCGGCCUGAGAGGGUGACCGGCCACACUGGGACUGAGACACGGCCCAGACUCCGUACGGGGAGGCAGC